GACGAACGCUGGCGGCGUGCUUAACACAUGCAAGUCGAGCGGUAAGGCCCUUUCGGGGGUACGACGAGCGGCGAACGGGUAGAGUAACACGUGGGUGACCUGCCCUCAGCUCUGGGAGUAAGCCUGGGAAACCGGGUCUAAUACCGGAUAUGACUCCAUGACGCAUGUUGUGGGGUGGAAAGCCUUGUGCGGCUGAGGAUGGGCCCGCGGCCUAUCAGCUUGUUGGUGGGGUGAUGGCCUACCAAGGCGACGACGGGUAGCCGGCCUGAGAGGGCGACCGGCCACACUGGGACUGAGACACGGCCCAGACUCCUACGGGAGGCAGCAGUGGGGAAUCUUGCGCAAUGGGCGAAAGCCUGACGCAGCGACGCCGCGUGA
rnacentral:rRNA from 1 species